CCCCGAAGAUGAAUCAAAGCUUAGCAUCUUUAGAGGGCAACUUGGCAGUGCAAGUGGUGCGACUAACAAGACCUUGCAACAUGAAGAGUGGCGCACUAUUAUGUUGUAUGUCUUGACCAACCUAUCCGAAGUGGAGCCGUACAUGCAGGAAUUCAAUGAGCAAUUCUGGCAUGAAUCAAGGGAACCUACCCUCGAGGAAGCUUCGGCCCUUCUUAGAGAUGGGAACAACCGACGAGUCUAUGAGUGCCGACUUGAGACAAGUUGCUGAUGGUUGUGCCUAUAGGGUCAGGUCAUUU